GACAUCACACAACUAUGUGUUCUAUUUUCUUACAUCUUAUUUGAGCAUUGAUUAUGUCCUCUGAUAAGCUUAAAUUGAAGUAACCGAAAUAUGUCAUGCACCACACUGCAAAUUCAAUAGGAAGACACCAUUGAAUUCAUAUUUUAUUUGGUAACAAUGAAUAUUCUCAGUUUUGAAUUGAAAAAAAUUCUCAUAUUGAUAUGUAGUAUGAAGUUCUCUAAGCAAUAAUCAAGAAAGUUAAAUAGUUCUAGCUUCUACUAUUAACACUGAGAUUUCCAGAAUCAAGCUUCCAAUGUUCAAUCAGCAAACAACUUAAAAUAAAUCUCCUUUAAGAAAUCUUACUCUGCCCCACGAAAUAAGCAAAACAAACAUUUGCUUCCUUGAGAAUUCCAUGGAUCCUUCAGCCCUGAAGUCCCCUGAAUUGCAGCAAUUUUUCAGUCGUGAAGGAAAGGGCCAUGGACAGUGAAAUAAUUGCAAAGCUUACAAAUGCUUGUUGGGGUAAAUGCAUCACUGAUAUUCCUAGAAGCAAGUUCAACUUCAUUUGAUCUAAUUAUUUAACCAUCUGUCCACAAUGUGAUAUGAAAAUGAGCUUGAUCAAUGUCAAGACACAAGAGAGUACAAUGAUCACAUUUUUACUCGAAACUCAAGUGUCACGGUGUACAAUAAAAUUAUGCUAUGGUCGUCCUGGCUCUUCAUGCUUCUAUAUAGUAGAAAUAAGUAGUAAUAGUAAUUCAAAAUUUCUGCUAAAGUUAAACAAACAGAAUAACUGAGUUAUUUUUAUAAAAAUUUCAAUAAAAUCUGUAGAUGAAGGAAGUAGAUCCUAAAGCACUAAAAUUUGUAUUUUCGCUCACCUCUCUUUUUAAAACUUUGAAAGAAAAUACUUAAAAUAACUACUGUAAUAAGUUGCAUGUUACAUGACUUAAUUUAGUCUUUCUUGUCCUCGAUUCAUUUAAUUAAGUUUGAUGUGAAUCUAUGAUUACAUGCUAGUCUGGGAAAUAAAUUAAGCUUAAAAAUGAUGUAUUUGAUAUGAGGAAAGUCAUUUUGUGUCCAUUUCCUAUGGAUACACUAAAGAUCAUAACUGUCUAAAUAUUUUCAAUACAUGAAUUGUUGUAGAUGUUGUUUCACAUUCAUUUCAUGCAAGCUAUUAAGAUCAAGAUUUGCCUCAAUGGCAGAAACAACACCAAAUACCACUACAGAUUAAUAAAAUCCGAAAGACAAUGAUCUCACCCGUGCUUUUUCAUAAUGAAUUGAUCAACUUCACCAUAGUAAUUCUUAGGACAUUAAUUAGACACCAAAAAACAAUUAAUAAUCCUGAAAUGAAAACCCACAAAUUUCAAGUUUUCAUAUCACAAUUCAAUCUUUAACUCAACUGUACUUCAUACAUAAUGAUCCCCACAAGAAGAUUUUUAUAAAAUAAAUCGAUAGAUUGGGGGUUCGAUUCAUACCUCAUACCGACAACCUCAUAUUCUUCCAUCUUCUGUGGCGCAACCAGAGUUUCAAAAUAUGACAAACCAAAUUAGUGCAAGGUUUAACACCUUUUCUAUAUAUAUAACAAAAAAAAUUAUAUGUUAAGUCUUUUUUUUUAGUUGUAUGUGAAACCAUUUGAUUUGUAAGUUUGCCAAUCUUGGUAGUUCCAAGUAAACAAAAAUUGCAAAAAAAUUCGAAGCACAUAUGCAAUGUCUAGAGUGCAAUUAAGGCUUCCAAGGAACCAAGCAUCCAUCACAACGUUUGUAAUACUACAAGUUCAGAUUACCAUCGAGUAAAUCAAAAGAUAAAAAAUUAGGUGUUUCUAGCAUGGUCAUGCCACUACAAUAAAAAUAGCUUUUAGUGGCUAAAAACAUCUUAUAUAUUGUCGAUAAAUGUAUAUUUAUUGUGCGGCUAGAAAUUUCACAACAAAUUUUGUGAUUAUUUAUCAUGGUUGAUUAAACAAUCUCUUGAUAAAUAAUCAUGAAAUUUUUUGAUGAUUUUGGGAUGUCUAACAAUUUCUUAGUCAACUGUGAUAAAUGCCAGGACACAAUUUUUUGAACAAGUGAAACGUUUUCUUCUCUUUGUUACAAUAACAAACCUCUGAAAGCCAUUGCAUUUUCUUUAGUAGAAACUUCAAGGUUUGAAAAGCUUACAAAACCCCACUUCAGACCACACCUUCAAAAGUGUCAUUAGGCGCGCAGCCAACGAUACUAACAUUCUUGAGAUCUGGAAAACAUGAUGUUUGGAAUCCAACUUGGAAAAUUGAUGUUAUGUACUUCAGCGAAAUAGCUUAGCUCAAGCCUGGCAGGGGCUCGUAAAACUCAGAUUUGAUGUGUAUGUUGAGUGACUCUAAAAGAGGCGAGGUUUGCAAAGGCUGGCUAUUCCAUACAGAUUAUACUAUGUUACAUGCAUUUAUAGAGUUAGGCAUUUGCAUCACUUUGUCAAGUCUCAUCAUGAACAAACUAAUUAGCCUCGUGUUAGUACACUUAUACUAUUAUUCGGUUUUUAAAAGAACACUAAGUGCAUCUAAUAUAAACACUAAUAAUAUGCGUAGCUAAAUAAGUGUAUUGUAUAUCAGUAGAAACUUAACUGAGAAGCUUCGUGUCUAUAGGCAUUUUGAGACUCUAAUGUGGAACCUCUGAAAACGAAACUAAGAAGCUUCUUGUCGAUAUGCAUUUCGAGACUCUAAUGUGCAACCUCUCAAAGCUGAAAAUUGAUUUGGUGAGGUC
rnacentral:lncRNA from 1 species